UGUCAGGGCCCAUGGAGUGUGGACUUACGAACCCCGCCAGGGCAGGAAUGCAGCAACGGUAGUUUGCUCUGUAUUGUUAUGGUUACCCUGGCAUUU
rnacentral:SRP_RNA from 2 species